ACGGGAGCCAGCAGUGAGGAAUAUUGGUCAAUGGGCGGAAGCCUGAACCAGCCAAGUCGCGUGAAGGAUGAAGGUAUUAUGUAUUGUAAACUUCUUUAGCAGUGGAGUAAUAAGGGGAUCGUGAUCCCUGAUGCAAGUACACUGAAAAUAAGGAUCGGCUAACUCCGUGCCAGCAGCCGCGGUAAUACGGAGGAUCCGAGCGUUAUCCGGAUUUAUUGGGUUUAAAGGGUGCGCAGGCGGCCCUGUAAGUCAGCGGUUAAAUCGUGGAGCUCAACUCCAUCCCGCCGUUGAUACUGCAGGGCUUGAUUGCGGUCGAGGUUGGCGGAAUUCGUCGUGUAGCGGUGAAAUGCAUAGAUAUGACGAAGAACACCGAUUGCGUAGGCAGCUGACCAGGCCGUAAAUGACGCUCAUGCACGAAAGUGCGGGGAUCGAACAGGAUUAGAUACCCUGGUA
rnacentral:rRNA from 1 species